CAGAACGAACGCUGGCGGCGUGCUUAACACAUGCAAGUCGAACGCGAAAGGGACUUCGGUCCUGAGUAAAGUGGCGCACGGGUGAGUAACGCGUAGAUAACCUGUCUUCAUGUCUGGAAUAAUACGCCGAAAGGGGUACUAAUACCGGAUAUUCUUGCUUUUCAUAAGUUAUGCAAGCAAAGGUGGCCUCUGCAUAUGCUACUGCAUGAAGAGGGGUCUGCGUACCAUUAGCUAGUAGGUGGGGUAAUGGCCUACCUAGGCGGCGAUGGUUAGCGGGUCUGAGAGGAUGAUCCGCCACACUGGCACUGGAACACGGGCCAGACUCCUACGGGAGGCAGCAGUGAGGAAUAUUGCGCAAUGGGGGAAACCCUGACGCAGCGACGCCGCGUGAGUGAGGUAGGCCUUCGGGUCGUAAAGCUCUGUCAAGAGGAAAGAAGUGUACAAUGGCUAAUACCUGUUGUAUUUGACGGUACCUCUAAAGGAAGCACCGGCUAACUCCGUGCCAGCCGCCGC
rnacentral:rRNA from 1 species